rnacentral:rRNA from 1 species
GAACGCCUGUAGCAAUACAGGAGUGGCAGACGGGUGAGUAACACGUGGGAACGUGCCCUUCGGUUCGGAAUAACCCAGGGAAACUUGGGCUAAUACCGGAUAAGCCCUUACGGGGAAAGAUUUAUCGCCGAAAGAUCGGCCCGCGUCUGAUUAACUAGUUGGUGAGGUAAUGGCUCACCAAGGCGACGAUCAGUAGCUGGUCUGUGAGGAUGAUCAGCCACAUUGGGACUGAGACACGGCCCAAACUCCUACGGGAGGCAGCAGUGGGGAAUAUUGGACAAUGGGCGCAAGCCUGAUCCAGCCAUGCCGCGUGAGUGAUGAAGGCCCUAGGGUUGUAAAGCUCUUUUGUGCGGGAAGAUAAUGACGGUACCGCAAGAAUAAGCCCCGGCUAACUUCGUG